rnacentral:rRNA from 1 species
CAGCCGCCACGGGAAUACGGGGGGAGCUAGCGUUGUUCGGAAUUACUGGGCGUAAAGCGCGCGUAGGCGGUUACUCAAGUCAGAGGUGAAAGCCCGGGGCUCAACCCCGGAACUGCCUUUGAAACUAGGUGACUAGAAUCUUGGAGAGGUCAGUGGAAUUCCGAGUGUAGAGGUGAAAUUCGUAGAUAUUCGGAAGAACACCAGUGGCGAAGGCGACUGACUGGACAAGUAUUGACGCUGAGGUGCGAAAGCGUGGGGAGCAAACAGGAUUAGAUACCCCAGUAGUCCCUGUCUCUUAUAC